rnacentral:rRNA from 1 species
GAUCAUGGCUCAGGAUGAACGCUGGCGGAGUGCCUAACACAUGCAAGUCGAGCGGCAGCGCGAGUAGUUUACUACUUGGCGGCGAGCGGCGGACGGCUGAGUAACGCGUGGGAACAUGCCCCAAAGUGAGGAAUAACUGCCCGAAAGGGUAGCUAAUGCCGCAUACGAUCUUCGGAUUAAAGGAUUUAUCCGCUUUGGGAGUGGCCUGCGUACGAUUAGAUAGUUGGUGAGGUAAUGGCUCACCAAGUCUACGAUCGUUAACUGGUUUGAGAGGAUGAUCAGUCAGACUGGAACUGAGACACGGUCCAGACUCCUACGGGAGGCAGCAGUGAGGAAUCUUCCACAAUGGACGAAAGUCUGAUGGAGCAACUCCGCGUGCAGGAUGAAGGCCUUCGGGUCGUAAACUGCUUUUAUGAGUGAAGAAUAUGACGGUAACUCAUGAAUAAGGGUCGGCUAACUACGUG